rnacentral:rRNA from 1 species
UACGUAGGGUGCGAGCGUUGUCCGGAAUUACUGGGCGUAAAGAGUUCGUAGGCGGUUUGUCGCGUCGUUCGUGAAAACUUGGGGCUUAACUCCAAGCGUGCGGGCGAUACGGGCAGACUUGAGUACUACAGGGGAGACUGGAAUUCCUGGUGUAGCGGUGAAAUGCGCAGAUAUCAGGAGGAACACCGGUGGCGAAGGCGGAUCUCUGGGCCUUGCCUGACGCUGAGGCGCGAAAGCUAGGGGAGCGAACAGG